CAGCUGUGAAGGGAAGAAUACAGAAUGUUUAUUUCUAGAAUUCUGCAGCAAGGUGGAUCAUUCAUGAUUCUAGCUGAAGUUUCGCCAUCCCCAAAAGCCUGGUGCAAAAGGAGGCUUUUUGCCAUAGGUUAACAGGGAGGCAGCCAUCUUUAAAAGGAGCAACAACAGACCAGCUUCCGGGUCCAUGGCUUCACAGAGGAUAUGCAACAUGACUUCAAGAUGGAAACUAAGCAUCAGAAGAUCUGGAUAAAAUGUUCCUCAGCUAACAUCCUCGGUAGGAGUUGGAUGACAACACCCUCUAUCUCCAAGUACUUCAGGAGCAUUGUCUUCCAACCCAGCCAAAGGACAUUCUUCGGAGAAGCAAAAUUAACAUUUUAAGACGCCCAGAGGUACACUGUGGUCAUCUGGGCUUAUAUUCAAUUGCUAAAAUCCCCAAAUGUUUGAUCCUGGAGGGACCGAAUGCUCCCAAACACAGUAUAUCCCACAAAAGAUGGAGUAAACAACCCACAGACAAGUGAUCAUCUAGGACAACCUCUGGACUGCUGGACAUCAACUUAUAUACCUUGGAGGUGGAGUCAAGGUGAUCAUCCAAGACAACCUCUGGACUGCUGGACAUCAAUUUAUAUACCCUGGAGGCAGAGUCAAGG